UAUUUUUUUCGUUCUUGUUGAUCAAAAGCUAUAUCCACUUUUUUUGGUACAAGAUAAGAAUAUUUAAAAAAGAUGUUUGAUAAUUUUUAUUUUUUUUUUAGUUGAUAAAUAAUAAAUAUAAAUCUCAAUAAGGACAUACUCCACAAGGCUUGGUAAUGAUUCAAAACAUGUCUUGAUAUGAAAUAUUUAAGGUUUCUAUGAUCUAUAUAAAAAAUUAUUAUAUUAGAAGUGGCUUUUAAAUAAUAACGCCUUCUUGAAAUGAAGCAACAAUUACAAAAAGCUCUUUGUUAUAGAUCUUGUAAAUUAUCUCAAUUAUUAAAUUUCUUUUUGAAUGAAAAA
rnacentral:lncRNA from 1 species